GUGCCAGCAGCCGCGGUAAUACGUAGGUGGCAAGCGUUGUCCGGAUUUACUGGGCGUAAAGAGCGCGCAGGCGGUCGAAUAAGUCGAAUGUGAAAGCCCCCGGCUCAACUGGGGAGGGUCAUUCGAUACUGUUCGACUUGAAGGCAGGAGAGAGAAGCAGAAUUCCCGGUGUAGUGGUGAAAUGCGUAGAUAUCGGGAGGAAUACCAGUGGCGAAGGCGGCUUCUUGGCCUGUUCUUGACGCUGAGGCGCGAAAGCUGGGGGAGCAAACGGGAUUAGAUACCCCGGUAGUCCCAGCCGUAAACGAUGGACACUAGGUGUUGGUGGUAUCAACCCCGCCAGUGCCGUAGCUAACGCAUUAAGUGUCCCGCCUGGGGAGUACGGCCGCAAGGCUAAA
rnacentral:rRNA from 1 species